ensembl:lncRNA
CCUCUUACAGCCCUUGGAGAGGACCACGCCAGAGCAGAACUCCACAUGCAGCCCAUGGAGGACUCUACACUGGAGUAGAUCGAUCCACCCUACAGGAAGCUGCAGCCCAUGGAAAACCCAUGCUGGGGCAGGAAAAUACAUAAGGAUGAAGGAGCUGCAAGGAUAGCUGACCACAACAACUAUUCCCCUGCCUCCCUGUGCCACUUGGCAGGAAUAGAGUCAGAGAAAUUGAGAACAAAGGAUUGUAUUUAAGUCUGGGAAAAGUGAGGGAGGACUGUCUUGUUGAAGAACAGAAGUGAGAAAUAAUCUGGAUGGGUAUCUGGUAGCCAACCAAGUUCCACAAGAAGUGAAAUUGACGUCACUGAAAGAAUGGUAAACA